UUUCAUUCUCUUCUAUUCUAAGUCAUAAUAUCAAGAGUAGAGAAAUCCUCAAUUUAGAAAGGUCUAGGGAAGUCAAGGUCAAGAGAUAAGUAACACUUUAACUGCAAUGUAAGGACAAAAUUCUUUUCACACUUAACUUCAGUUUUAACCAUUUCUUUAUGUUGUGAUGGCUAUUAUGAUGUUAUUAGUUAUAAUCUAUGAUACUUAGUUAUGGUCGGCUAUGCUGCCUAAGCUAUGAUACUUAAUUAUGUUAUGGUCGGCCCUACCGCCUAAUCUAUGGUACUUAGUUAUGUUAUGGUCGGCUUUGCCGCCUAAGCUAUGAUACUUAAUUAUGUUAUGGUCGGCCCUGUCGCCUAAUUGAUGAUAAUAAGUUAUGUUAUAGUCGGUUCUGCCGCCUAAUCUGUGAUACUUAUACUUAAAUAGUGUUGCAUGUUGAUUCUGUUAUGCAUUUAGGAACUUCAAAUGUUAUGACAUAAGUUGCAUUGGAUACAUGCACAUCAAGCAUUACAUUAUGAAGAAGAUGUUUCAAAAAAAGAAUUUAUGAAAAAUAGGUUGUUGUACUACUUGGUGGCAAAGUUUCCAAGGAGGGCAAGCCCUCAAAGAUAAGCAAAAAGUAACGCCCAAAAGAUCAACUAAUGAGGCAUAUUAUUUAAAGAGUGAAAGUGCCAACCUUGUAGUGCAACAUACCUAGGGCCCUAAUGAAGUUGUUUUGUUUUGUUUUUUAUAAGUUUCUUUUAAAAGCUUAAAAUGGUUAUCCAUAUGCAUCAUAAUUUAUACAUGCAUAAAAGUGUUAUCUUACUGGGCAUUAGCUCAUAAAGUCCUUACAUUGCAGGUAACGAUGAGUAGAGUAAGCUGGCGCCAAGUCCUAACCAAGACAAAGUGUAUAUGGGCAUAACAGACCUUGGAAUUUUAUAAUGGGCUCAACUUUGUUUAAAUUAAAAAUAAACAUCUUAGCUUUAUGUAAUAAUCAAGUUUUGAAAUAAACAAUGGAAUCUCUGUAUGACUAUAAAGAAAG
rnacentral:lncRNA from 1 species